GAUGAACGCUGACAGAAUGCUUAACACAUGCAAGUCAACUUGAACUUCGGUUUGGGUGGCGGACGGGUGAGUAACGCGUAAAGAACUUGCCUCACAGAUAGGGACAACAUUUGGAAACGAAUGCUAAUACCUGAUAUUAUGAUUUUAGGGCAUCCUAGAAUUAUGAAAGCUAUAUGCGCUGUGAGAGAGCUUUGCGUCCCAUUAGCUAGUUGGAGAGGUAACGGCUCACCAAGGCGAUGAUGGGUAGCCGGCCUGAGAGGGUGAUCGGCCACAAGGGGACUGAGACACGGCCCUUACUCCUACGGGAGGCAGCAGUGGGGAAUAUUGGACAAUGGACCAAGAGUCUGAUCCAGCAAUUCUGUGUGCACGAUGAAGUUUUUCGGAAUGUAAAGUGCUUUCAGUUGGGAAGAAAAAAAUGACGGUACCAACAGAAGAAGUGACGGCUAAAUACGUGCAAGCAGCCGCGGAAUACGUAUGUCACAAGCGUUAUCCGGAUUUAUUGGGCGUAAAGCGCGUCUAGGUGUUAUGUAGUCUGAUGGGAAAAUGCGGGUCUCAACUUCUGUAUUGCGUUGGAAACUGGGUAAACUAGAGUACUGGAAGAGGUAAGCUGAAUUACAAGGUGUUGAGUUGAAAUUUUUAGUUUUUCGCCCGCAUCCCCGAUGAGAAAGCCAUUUUUUUGGGAAAAUUUCUGACGGUGAAUCGCGAAAGCCGGGGUGAAUUAAACAGGAGUAAACAACUCUGGGGGGUGCCGGGGGGGGGAUUCCACUUUUUGAGGGGCGGCGUCGGGGGGGCGCGCCCCCUCCCCAUGUGGGGGGCUAUAUACCCCCCCCUCGUGCCCCGUUAAAAAAUAAAAAAAAAAAAAAAAAAUAGUU
rnacentral:rRNA from 1 species